UGGGGAAUUUUGGACAAUGGGCGCAAGCCUGAUCCAGCCAUGCCGCGUGCGGGAAGAAGGCCUUCGGGUUGUAAACCGCUUUUGUCAGGGAAGAAAUCUUCUGAGUUAAUACCUCGGGAGGAUGACGGUACCUGAAGAAUAAGCACCGGCUAACUACGUGCCAGCAGCCGCGGUAAUACGCAGGGUGCAAGCGUUAAUCGGAAUUACUGGGCGUAAAGCGUGCGCAGGCGGUUUUGUAAGACAGAGGUGAAAUCCCCGGGCUCAACCUGGGAACUGCCUUUGUGACUGCAAGGCUUGAGUGCGGCAGAGGGGGAUGGAAUUCCGCGUGUAGCAGUGAAAUGCGUAGAUAUGCGGAGGAACACCGAUGGCGAAGGCAAUCCCCUGGGCCUGCACUGACGCUCAUGCACGAAAGCGUGGGGAGCAAAACAGGAUUAGAUACCCUGGUAGUCCACGCCCUAAAACGAUGUCAAC
rnacentral:rRNA from 1 species